GCAGCAGUCCCUUUCAAGAGCAGAAGUGGAGGCCAGCUUGCAGUUUUUCCAGUACCAACAGCCUCUUUGCACCCCCUGAACAACAGUUUCUCGAGCUGGAUGGUAUCCAGUUCUCCGAGCUCCAAGGGGGGUUCUCUUCAAAGCUCUAAGUCUAAAUAAUUUCAACCUCUUCCUUCCUGUCCUCAGCCCUAAGGCGGGACUCCGGCUGAUACAGAAAAGAAGCAGUUUCUUCUGAACAGUGACAGGGGACUCAGAGACUUUUGUGCCCCACCUCACCGCAGCAGGAGUGAAGAAGGAUAACCUCACAUGGCAACUUCCUCAACGGCGGAGGGUGUGUGAAAGCCUUGCUCAGUUUCGUCCUAGGUUUGCAAAGAGCAGUGGGUGCAAUGUCAAAGGGGACAAUGCAUUUCACCUCAGCAGAAUUGUGGGCUUGAGCUGCUGCAAACAAGAAAGCCCAUAACAUCCUCAGUCUAAAGGUGGCUUUUCUUGGCCUCCUCUGCCCAGUGGUCCUAUUUAGACUUCACCAAAUCAUCAAGACAGAAAACCUUAAAGCCACUUUCUAAUCCAUCUCUCAUUAUGCUCACCAGCAAGAGUUUGUGUCUAUAGUUUGUGAUUUAAAUAUACCAGAAAACAAUCUUGU